rnacentral:rRNA from 1 species
AGUGAACGCUGGCGGUAGGCCUAACACAUGCAAGUCGAACGGCAGCACAGUAAGAGCUUGCUCUUACGGGUGGCGAGUGGCGGACGGGUGAGGAAUACAUCGGAAUCUACUUUUUCGUGGGGGAUAACGUAGGGAAACUUACGCUAAUACCGCAUACGACCUACGGGUGAAAGCAGGGGAUCUUCGGACCUUGCGCGAUUGAAUGAGCCGAUGUCGGAUUAGCUAGUUGGCGGGGUAAAGGCCCACCAAGGCGACGAUCCGUAGCUGGCCUGAGAGGAUGAUCAGCCACACUGGAACUGAGACACGGUCCAGACUCCUACGGGAGGCAGCAGUGGGGAAUAUUGGACAAUGGGCGCAAGCCUGAUCCAGCCAUACCGCGUGGGUGAAGAAGGCCUUUGGGUUGUAAAGCCCUUUUGUUGGGAAAGAAAAGCAGCAGGUUAAUACCCCGCUGUUCUGACGGUACCCAAAGAAUAAGCACCGGCUAACUUCGUG